CGUUUGACGUUAGCGACAGAAGAAGCACCGGCUAACUCCGUGCCAGCAGCCGCGGUAAUACGGAGGGUGCGAGCGUUAAUCGGAAUUACUGGGCGUAAAAGCGCAUGCAGGUGGUUUGUUAAGUCAGAUGUGAAAAGCCCGGGCUCAAACCUCGGAAAUUGCAUUUGAAAAACUGGCAGACUAGAGUACUGUAGAGGGGGUAGAAUUUCAGGUGUAGCGGUGAAAAUGCGUAGAGAUCUGAAGGAAUACCGGUGGCGAAGGCGGCCCCCUGGACAGAUACUGACACUCAGAUGCGAAAGCGUGGGGACGCAAACAGGAUUAGACUACCCUGGUAG
rnacentral:rRNA from 1 species